UACAAGGAGACCUACCCUUUCACGUUGUCUUAGACGACGAUGAAAAUGGUCAACUAGGUCGUUCGAAGCUUUCCAUGCAGACUAACUUGUUUAGUUUGUGAUUUACUGUGCUUCUAAACUAUCCCGGUUCAGGGAUGGGGGCUAUUAGCUCAGGUGGUUAGAGCGCACCCCUGAUAAGGGUGAGGUCCCUGGUUCGAGUCCAGGAUGGCCCACUCCAUUUGUAUGGGGGUUUAGCUCAGUUGGUAGAGCGCCUGCUUUGCAAGCAGGAUGUCAGCGGUUCGAGUCCGCUAACCUCCACUGAGUGAGUCACUCAACUUGAGAUGUGGGGACGAGACAGCAACUUAUCUACUAGUUUAGUAAGAGUAGAGAGACUGCUGGGCAUGUUCCCAGUAAAAGAACCAAGAAAACUGCAUAGUAAGUUGUCAGGUAGAAAUACACAGACACCAAUGUAAAUGGACUACGACUGAUUGAAAUAAUUAGU
rnacentral:tRNA from 1 species